GCCCCGGAAGCCGAAGUGGUCCAGGCGGUAGUCUUUCAAGCUACGAUUAGCGAGUUCAAGUCUCGUUCGGGGUA
rnacentral:tRNA from 1 species